UGUCUGUGCGGUCCGACCAGAAGCAUGUGUAGUUCACUGAAGGGCCUAUAGGGGGCGCGUGGCAAUCGAUGCUUUUCUUCUUCUUUUGGGUUUGGUCCCAGGUGGCAGGUUCAGCUCCAUAUGAUGUAUUUUGGCAUUUUAUCUGCUGGUUGCAGAAAUGGUAAUCGAUUGCCCUCUCCAUGGCCGGCCAUGGAUAUAUAAUACGUAGAGACAGAAUAUAAAUAUAUUAACCAUAGGCGCUGUCAUGACUGAUCUCCUUCGCUUCAAAGCACUUUACUUGGUGAAGCUUGGAAGGUGGUGUUUCUACCUGGUUGAGCUGAGUUGGGUGGUGUUUCCAUCAGGUGAAGCUGGUCGGUGUUGUUUCUACCUGGUGAAGCUGGGUUUGUUAGGGUUUGUGUUUCUACCUGGUGAAGCUGGACAGUUGGUGUUUCUGAAUGGUAAAGCUAGGAAGGUGGUGUUUCUACCUGGGGAACCUUGGUAGGUGCUGUUUCUUCCUGGUGAAGCUGUUUAGGUGGUGUUUCUGCAAACCUCAGGCCUCGCUGUGGUCUUCCUGGGCAAUUCUCCUUCCUGCCGUCUGUUUGAUCUCUCAGAAGGCCGCUGGUGUCAUUUUGUUAUCCCAGCACGAUGGGCGCUGGCGUUGUUUAUCCCGCGGGUCACGGCUAGGGCUGGCCCGAAUUAUUCGAAUAUUCGAAUACUCGUUCGGAAAAUUAGUAUUCAAAGCUUAAAUCAGUAUUCGGAGCUUCGUUGUUGUUUUUUUUCACGUAGGCCUACGUGACGUUACCAGAGCGAGGGAGGCAAACUAUAAGCGUCAGCGACACCAAGCAGAGAAGCGAGAGAGGUGGAGGAAAAAUAGAUAUCUUGUUUCCCUUUACUUUAUAACACAACAUUAGCGGGAUCUCUGGAGGAAAAGUAAUACUUAAAACCUUAGCUUAGUUGUUUGUUUACGUUCGCUGUACAGCGCCGCGCCAAUCAACUGUGACUGGCUUGCUGCAGAGCGUGAG